AGAAGUCGUAACAAGGUUUCCGUAGGUGAACCUGCGGAAGGAUCAUUGG
rnacentral:rRNA from 1 species